AGGAGCCAAUCAUUAAAGCACAAAGGAAGUAAAGCAAUUAUAAAAGAAACAAACAAAACCACUUGCUUGUAUUGGCAAGUAAUCAAUCACCACUCACCACCAACAGUUCCAAAUAAAUUCUUACAUAGACUCAUCAGAAUUGGUAGCUUGAGCAGAAAUGGCAGGAAGGAAUUAUUGUGUGAGAGAUGUUUUGCCAUUUACAUCUCUUGUAGCAAUGGAGUGUGUCAACGUUGGCUUAAACACUCUUUACAAAGCAGCCACCUUGAAGGGCAUGAACUACCUUGUCUUUAUUGUAUAUGCUUACGCCAUUGCUGCUCUUCUUCUUCUUCCUUCUCCUUUCAUCUCCUGCAGAUCAAGAGUACUUCCUCCCCUGAGCUUCUCCAUACUCUCUAAAAUUGGUCUUCUUGGGCUGAUUGGGAGCUCGUCUCAGAUCAUGGGUUUCACAGGCAUAAAUUAUAGUUCUCCAACUCUUUCUUCAGCCAUCAGCAAUCUCACACCAGCUUUCACUUUCAUUCUUGCCAUCAUUUUCCGGAUGGAAAGGGUUGCCAUGAAAAGAAGAAGCAGCCAGGCUAAAGUAUUGGGCACCAUUGUUUCAAUAGCUGGUGCAUUUGUAGUCACUCUUUAUAAGGGUCCACCAAUUAUCAUUGUUUCUUCUCCAUCUCUUUUAUUCAAUCAAUCUCUUCAAUCAACUCAUCCCAAUUGGAUCCUUGGUGGGAUCUUGCUCACAGCCGAGUAUAUACUAGUUCCCUUAUGGUAUAUUGUUCAGACACAAAUAAUGAAGGAGUAUCCAGCAGAGAUGACAGUAGUCUUCUUCUAUAAUCUAUCUGUGAGCAUUAUAGCAGCAAUUGUAGCUCUAUUCACUUAUGGAGCUUCUUGUUCUUGGAUCAUACGGCCGGGUUUAGCUCUAGCUUCCAUUGUAUGCUCGGGAGUGUUUGGAUCAUGCUUGAAUAAUACUGUUCACACAUGGGCUCUGCACUUGAAGGGACCUGUUUUUGUUGCAAUGUUCAAGCCUUUGUCAAUUGCCAUUGCAGUUGCUAUGGGUGCCAUGUUCCUUGGUGAUGCUCUCCAUCUUGGAAGUCUGAUUGGAGCAAUGAUAAUAUCUAUUGGAUUUUACACUGUGAUGUGGGGAAAGGCCAAAGAAGAGUUGACUGAGGAUUACGGAGCUAGUACACUGGGAUCUCCAUCCACCCAGAAGGUUCCUCUGUUGCAAAGCUACAAAGAUGAACAUGUGUAGAGCAAAAAAAUAAAAAGAAAGGCAAGACACAGAUCAGUCUGGAAAAAUGAGAAUGCAUCUGCAGUAUACAACCAAAUGCAGGGCCAGAAUAUAAUGGAAAUCUCUCCAUUUUGACAGUUCGAGUCACCUGCCUGUACAGCUCAAGGGUGCAAAAUAAUCGAGGCCCAAGUGCGUGCUGGUCGACAGCUGAUGGGAACUGCCUAUACCAAAUGUCUAAUAAAGAUUUCUGGGGUGGCUCGUGUGUGUUGGUGCAAGUGGAUAGCCUCAAGGUACUCCUCCAUUGCCUUCGUCUAACUUGGUUAAGCCUAUUUAAAGCCUCAUCGAGCCUUGUGAGGCUUAUCGAAAGUAUCCCCUGGCUUGCAUGUGACUUUUUCUUCUUUCCUUUUUGGACUAGAGUUGCCUAUACAUUUUCUUUCGAGUUUCUUCCGAUUCCUCUGCGCUUCAAUAAAAUUGAUUAGCUUGUUUGGCUAUUGUUAUGAGGACCUCUAUCAGCCUCUAGAGGCGUUCUUCCUGUGCUCAGGCGAUCAAAGAUCUAAGUGGAGAAGGGAAAUGAGGAAGCAACAAUCCGGAUCCUUACCGGGUCUACUUAUGGAUCGUGUUUUUAGGGCACAAGAUAUUUGGGCUUCUUUAGUUUCCUUUUUCUUAUUUGACCCUUUAUUUUCUCCAACGGUUUUUAUGUUAUCAGGCAUAGGACCUGCCUUUACUUAUGAUAAUGAAAUCUUUCAACAACAAAAAAAACUAUUUAACAUACAACAGAUAACAAUUGGAAAAACAAAAUAGCUUUGCUCUAAAUGUGAAAGAUGGUUUCGAUUUAAGCUGAUAGAUGGCUUUUGUUUGUAUAAUACCAAAUGGAGAAAGCCAAUGUAUUGACCUCGUUAUGGUCACCAUAAUGAAAGUGAUUGUCCAGGCUUUGGGACCAGCAGAAGCUGCGCAGGAGACAGAGGAUAUCAUCAGUAGUGUUUCUCGUUGGUUCAAGUCCUGGUGAAAAAUUAAUUGGCUAACUGUAUCUUUGAUUUGAAGAAUUUCCUGUUGUGAUAUCUGUAAAUGAGAAAGAGUAGUCUCAAAAAAGAAAAUUGAAAGAAAAAGAAGAAAGGAAUGGGAGAUGGAGAGAAGAGGCGAAAGGAAGAAGGGAAGAAACUAGAACUACAAUUUAGAGGAAACGAAGGGAGGCAGCAGCAGCGGCGGCAGCAGAAUGCAGUAAAACCAACUUUACCGUCUCUGUUUUUCUAUCAUUUGAAUUUCCAGUUCUACAUGAUUCCAUUGUAUGCAUGUUUAUUUAGUAGUCCUUAUAAUGAAUCACAAGAAAUUGCAAAA